rnacentral:lncRNA from 1 species
UGGUCGCAUAAUAAAGAUCAUCUUCUAAUAUAGAGGCUUAAGCCCAAGCGAGCCCAAUGACAGCAAUAAAGGUCCAGAAGAUGCCACUUCCAGCAACCAACCCAACGGCAGUGUUGUUGGCCGGAGUUGGUGCCGGUGAAGUAGGAGGUGCCGGUGAAGUAGGAGGUGCUGGUGAAGUAGGAGGUGCCGGUGAAGUAGGAGGUUUUGAAGGAGUUGGUGGAGCAGUGGGGGGUACGGGCUUGGGCAUGGGCGGGUGAUCAGGUGACUGAACCACCACGAUCAAUUUUUCACCGUUAGCGCAAUUACCUUGAUCUCCACUGAUGAAGUAGUGUGG